ACCGAUUUGAUACACAGAAUCAUUAUAAGUCGUUCGAAAAGUUGUCCUCAUUUCUAAAGUGUAUUCCUGCGAGUACCCCUUCUUCUUGAGUCUUCUCUGUAACACGCCGAUUGAUAUCUGUAAUUAAAUCAUUUAAGUAAAUGUUUAAUUAAUAAGGUAAAAAACAUGUCUAACAAAAUUAUCGGCACCGUUAAAUGGUUCAACGAAACUAAAGGUUUCGGUUUUAUCUCUCCUGAAGAUGGCAGCAAAGAUGUAUUCGUACACUUCUCCGCAAUUCAGAGCAACAGCUUCCGUACUCUGGCUGAAGGCCAGAAAGUUGAGUUUUCAGUAGAAGAUGGUCAGAAAGGCCCGUCUGCUGUAAACGUGGUAGCACUCUAAGGACAUCAUUCGUCCUGUAUUGGGGCAUCUCCGUUGCCCGCG
rnacentral:sRNA from 1 species